rnacentral:rRNA from 1 species
UGGUGGAGUGAUUUGUCUGGUUAAUUCCGUUAACGAACGAGACCUCAGCCUGCUAAAUAGUUGGACGAAGACUUUGUCUUCGUAUACAACUUCUUAGAGGGACAUUCGGUUUUCAGCCGAAGGAAGUUUGAGGCAAUAACA